UACGGGGGGGGCAAGCGUUGUUCGGAUUUACUGGGCGUAAAGGGCGCGUAGGCGGUCGUGACAAGUCACUUGUGAAAUCUCCGGGCUUAACUCGGAACGGUCAAGUGAUACUGUCGUGCUAGAGUACAGAAGGGGCAACUGGAAUUCUCGGUGUAGCGGUGAAAUGCGUAGAUAUCGAGAGGAACACCUGCGGCGAAGGCGGGUUGCUGGGCUGAUACUGACGCUGAGGCGCGAAAGCUAGGGGAGCGAACGGG
rnacentral:rRNA from 1 species